UGUAGCUUGACGCCACAUCUCUGAGACGGAAGAAAAGCAGCACAGUCAGUCCAAAUGUCCAAGUCUGCGUCCGAAGAGAUGGAAUUAAUCGAGAAACACGAGGAAAUUUUAGGGAGGAGGUCAUUGGUGCUACAGCAGAUGGACCAACGCUACCAUCAGAUCAAAGUCCAGAAGAAACAGCGUCUGAAGGAGCGAGAGGACGCUCGGAUCAGGAACGACGCACUGAUGCAGCACUUACAGAAGCUGGAAGCUGGUCUGAGAGCAGGUCGACUGCCUGAUCCGACUCUACAGGCUCUGGAGACCCGGUACUGGGCCUCUGUGGAGGAGUCCGUUCCAGCCUGGGAGCUCUUCCUCCAGGGUAAAGGUCCUCAUCCCAUCGACAGUCCUGGUUCUGGACCUGGGGGGGUCAAGCAGGCCCCCAGUAAAGACCAUGGUCGGCCUCCUCGGCCCAGACCUGGCCCAGUCCGACGCUGAUGCUGCCACUGUUACACCUUUCAAACUGGUCUGGGUCUGUCCACCAGAACCAGAGAAGUGUGAGAACGUCCGUGAAGGAGGCUCCAAGCAGAGACCCACCAAACUGUUUAUUUCACCCACGACUCCAACAAAACCUGGACCGCAACGGCAGCUGGUCCCAACAUCUGGACCCUCUGAAGGCCCCAACAUCCACCAGGUUCAAGGGUCACAGUUACAGCCACGGCUUUAAUAUGCAUCACUUUGAGCAGGUCCAAUCCACCAUCUUUACCCAGUUUUAGACCAGUUUAUCCCCCUGGUAUCGGAUCCAUAGAGGUCCUUUAACCACCUAAAGCCCAUAAUACGCAUAUGAGUCGUACUAAUGUCAAAAUGUUUUUCAUAGUUUGUUCUUUAACUUUUUUUUUUUUUUUUACUUUUUUUUGUAUUUCAUCAACUUGACUCAUAAACAAAAAUACCAAAUAAUCAUUAAGUGUCAUAUUUUAACCCUUUAAAUGCCUUGUUUGUGAUGUAAAUA